GUACUCCCUUGGGCAGCACAAAUACUCAGAGUGGAAUGACUCACCGAACAUUAACAUGCCCCCUGUGCGAAGAUGACACGUGGAGUAAUGGAGGGGUCCGUGUCUUU
rnacentral:snRNA from 1 species